GAUAGAUAGGUCAAGCUACGAAGAGCGCACGGUGGAUGCCUUGGCACCAAGAGCCGACGAAGGGCGCAGUACUCUGCGAUAAGCCUCGGGUAGUUGAGUGCAAACGUUAAUCCGAGGAUUCCCGAAUGGGGUAACCCACCUGGAUAAACUCCAGGUACUCCGGGCUGAAUCCAUAGGCCCGGGAGAGGGCACCGGCCGAACUGAAACAUCUUAGUAGGCCGAGGAAGAGAGACCAUUCCCUUAGUAGUGGCGAGCGAACGGGGAACAGCCUAAACUCGCGUCGCGCAAUAGGCGGCAGCCGUUGCGACGCGGGAGUAGUACGAGCCGCAGGCCGUCCUGCCGGACGGCGACGGAGUUACAAAGCCAGCGCUAGCCGAAGGUCCCUGGAAAGGGCAGCCAUAGGCGGUGACAGCCCGGUAGGCGAAAGCUGACUGGCCUCCGAGCGGAGUUCGUAAGUACCACGGAACACGUGGAAUUCUGUGGGAAGCCGCGGGGACCAUCCCGCAAGGCUAAAUACUCUUGGUGACCGAUAGUGAACAAGUACCGCGAGGGAAAGGUGAAAAGUCCCCCGGAAGGGGAGUGAAAUAGCACCUGAAACCGUGUGCUUACAAGCGGUGAGAGGGCUAUGCCAGCUGGCGCAAGCCGACUGGAAUGCCUGAUUGCGUGCCUUUUGUAGAAUGAUCCGGCGAGUUACUUCAGCGUGGCGAGGUUAAGGGGUUUAAACCCGGAGCCGUAGCGAAAGCGAGUCUGAAUAGGGCAUGGCCGGCGCAAGCCGGUUGUAGUCGCGCUGAGUAGACCCGAAACCAAGUGACCUAUCCCUGGUCAGGUUGAAGCGCGGGUAACACCGCGUGGAGGACCGAACCAACUUCGGUUGAAAACGGAGUGGAUGAACUGGGGAUAGCGGUGAAAUGCCAAUCGAACUUGGAAAUAGCUGGUUCUCCUCGAAAUGUAUUUAGGUACAGCGUCGUUGUGAGUCUGGCGCAGGUAGAGCACUGAAUGGGCUAGGGGCGAUUACCUCGUUACCAAACCCAACCAAACUCCGAAUGGCGACAGAUAUUCCAACGGCAGUGAGACUACGGGGGCUAAGCUCCGUGGUCGAAAGGGAAAGAGCCCAGACCGACAGCUAAGGUCCCAAAGUGCAGGCUAAGUGGUAAAGGAUGUACUGUCGCUUAGACAACCAGGAUGUUAGCUCAGAAGCAGCUACCAUUCAAAGAGUGCGUAAUAGCUCACUGGUCGAGUGAUGGUGCGCCGACAAUGAUCGGGGCUCAAGCCUGCUACCGAAGCUUCGGGACGUGCCCGUAAGGGCGCGUCGAUAGAGGAGCGUUCUGUCUGCAGUGAAGUCAGACCGGAAGGACUGGUGGAGCGGACGGAAGUGCGAAUGCCGGAACAAGUAGCGAGAAACGCGUGAGAAACGUGUUCGCCGUAAACCUCAGGUUUCCUGGGCAACGUUAAUCGUCCCAGGGUUAGUCGGACCUAAGCCGAGGCAGACAUGCGUAGGCGAUAGGACACCAGGUCAUUAUUCCUGGACCACCGACGUUCGUUACGAGCAAUGGGGUGACGAAGAAGGGUAGGCCAUCCGGGCGAUCGGAUGUGCCCGGUCAAGCAGGUAGGCGGCCAGCUAGGCAAAUCCGGCUGGUAUUAACGCUGAGAUGCGAAUAGGAGCCUUCGCAAGAAGGUGAAGUGGCUGAUCCCAAGCUUCCAAGAAAAACCUCUAGCCAGAACGCUCGGUGCCCGUACCGCAAACCGACGCAGGUAGGUAGGAAGAGGAUUCCAAGGCGGUCGAGAGAACCAUGCUUAAGGAACUCGGCAAAAUCUCCCCGUAACUUAGGGAUAAGGGGAGCCCGAUUGGAUCGAGGGAUUUACUCCCAAAGUCCGGUUGGGCCGCAGAGAAUAGGGCUAAGCGACUGUUUACUAAAAACACAGGUCUCUGCUAAAGCGAAAGCUGAUGUAUAGGGGCUGACGCCUGCCCGGUGCCGGAAGGUUAAGAGGACGGGUGCAAGCCUGGAAUUGAAGCCCCGGUAAACGGCGGCCGUAACUAUAACGGUCCUAAGGUAGCGAAAUUCCUUGUCGGGUAAGUUCCGACCCGCACGAAUGGCGUAACGACUUAGCUGCUGUCUCGAGCAUGGACUCGGCGAAACUGAAACACCUGUGAAGAUACAGGUUACCCGCCACAGGACGGAAAGACCCCGUGGAGCUUUACUGCAUCCUGUCACUGAUCUGGGGCUUGCCAUGUAGAGGAUAGCUGGGAGACUGUGAAGUCGGGGCGCUAGCCUCGGCGGAGUCACCCUUGGAAUACCAGCCUUGGUUGGUCUUAGAUCUAACGUGCGCCCUGAUCGGGCGUGCAGACCGUGGCAGGUGGGCAGUUUGACUGGGGCGGUCGCCUCCUAAAGCGUAACGGAGGCGCCCAAAGGUUCCCUCAGCCUGGAUGGAAAUCAGGCCUAAAGAGUGUAAAGGCACAAGGGAGCUUGACUGUG
rnacentral:rRNA from 1 species